GCAAAUAUUUGUGAUAUACGCAGUAAACACAUGUCAUACGAUCAAGAACGGCAACUGUGAAUCAUUACGCAGAGAGCACGCAGCACUCUGACCAAACACGCUGAGCUACUGUGCCGGCACCACUCAACUACCGUAGGCGGACAGCCACCGUCACUGACCAGAAUAAAAAGAAUAAGAAGGUUGUCACAUCCAAACACAACUGGGCACUGAAGCGGUACGAGGAGGUAUAUUGAACCAGGAAGACAGGUCUGAGAUUCUGUUGUCUGUACCACUACAACAGCAGCAUCCCACAGUUGGCCCACCAUAUUUAUUUGAUCUACAGUUUGAGUAUCUCACGCCACCACAGCAGCAGAUGCCUGAAUUAUGGGAUCAGGAAACACAGCAGAUGCAUGGAGUUUACUCAGCUUGCAGCCGCUGUCACGUGAUUCCUAAAUACUGCUCUUUGCCAAUAUUUAAAAUGUGACUGCCAAUGGAUCAGAACAUGUGAACGUAGCCUUGGCAGCAGAUAGUGACUUUGAUGUAAUAAUUGAAAUUGAAAAUGUUCAAUGUGUUGGUCUUAAGUGCAGUAUACAUGGCAUGAGCGGGACUGUUUGAGAAGCAAUGCUAAAAUUAACUUCUGGAGACUCGUACAUUUACAUUAAAUAUUUAAGUGUUGUGAACUAUACAGUGCAUUAAGCGACCGCGACAGGUUGAUUUGGUGGCAACAGAACGUCAGAGCUAUGUUCUAUGACUUAAUAACCUAUCCGAGUGGGUGUACUGAAUGAGUUCGAGCAGUUCAUAAAUUUCUAAAAUCUGUAGUUGUUUUCCCCAUAAUUACAAAAUCCAUAGAAACAGAAU